rnacentral:rRNA from 1 species
AUCAACGCUGGCGGCGCGCCUAACACAUGCAAGUCGAACGAGAAAGUGGAGCAAUCCAUGAGUACAGUGCCGUACGGGUGAGUAACACGUGACUACUCUACCUUUAGUGGGGGAAUACCCGUGGAAACCGAGGACUAAUACCGCAUAAGCUCGCAGAGAGGCAAAGAAGCAAUGCGCUGAAGAGGGGAGUCGCGGCUGAUUAGCUAGUUGGUAGGGUAAUGGCCUACCAAGGCUGAUGAUCGGUAGCCGGCCUGAGAGGGCACACGGCCACACUGGAACUGAAACACGGGCCAGACUCCUACGGGAGGCAGCAGUGGGGAAUUUGCACAAUGGGGGAAACCCUGACUGCAGCGACGCCGCGUGAGGAUGAAGUCCCUUGGGACGUAAAGCUCCUUUCGGACCGGGACGAUUAUGACGGUACCGUGCAGAAGCCGCUGCGGCUAACUUACGUGCCAGCAGCCGCGGUAAUACGUAGGGCAGCAAGCGUUGUUCGGAGUUACUUGGGCGUAAAGGGCUGCGUAGGCGGUGCUAUAAGUACCUGGUGUGAAAUCUCCUGGCUCAACUCAGGAGGCUGCGCUAUAGACUGCUGGGCUUAGAGUGUGGGAGAGGUGAAGUGGAAUUCCUGGUGUAGCGGUGAAAUGCGUAGAUAUCAGGAGGAACACCGGUGGCUGUAAAGCGGCUCCUGGACCAUAACUGACGCUGAGGCGCGAAAGCUAGGGGAGCAAACAGGAUUAGAUACCCUGGUAGUCCUAGCCCUAAACUAUGGAUGCUUGGUGUGUCGGGUACCCAAUCCCGACGUGCCGCAGCUAACGCGUUAAGCAUCCCGCCUGGGGAGUACGGUCACAAGGCUGAAACUCAAAGGAAUUGACGGGGGCCCGCACAAGCGGUGGAGCAUGUGGUUCAAUUCGACGCAACGCGAAGAACCUUACCUGGGCUCGAAGCGCAGUGGACCGGGGUGGAAGCAUCCCUUUCCGCAAGGACUGCUGCGGAGGUGCUGCAUGGCUGUCGUCAGCUCGUGUCGUGAGAUGUUGGGUUAAGUCCCGCAACGAGCGCAACCCUUAUCGUUAGUUGCCAUCAGGUUAAGCUGGGCACUCUAGCGAAACCGCCUCGGAUAACGGGGAGGAAGGUGGGGAUGACGUCAAGUCCUCAUGGCCUUUAUGUCCAGGGCUACACACGUGCUACAAUGGUCGGUACAAACCGUCGCAAACCCGCGAGGGGGAGCUAAUCGGAAAAAGCCGGCCUCAGUUCGGAUUGGAGUCUGCAACUCGACUCCAUGAAGCUGGAAUCGCUAGUAAUCGCAGAUCAGAACGCUGCGGUGAAUACGUUCCCGGGCCUUGUACACACCGCCCGUCACAUCACGAAAGUGGGUGAUACUAGAAGCCGUCCCGCCAACCCGCAAGGGGGGCAGACGUCCAAGGUAUGACUCAUGAUUGGGGUG